GACGAACCGUGCGAACGUUGUUCGGAAUCACUGGGCUUAAAGAGCGUGUAGGCGGCCAGGUAGGUCUGCUGUGAAAACUCGAGGCUCAACCUCGAGACGUCGGCGGAAACCAUCUGGCUAGAGUCCGGAAGAGGAGAGUGGAAUUCCUGGUGUAGCGGUGAAAUGCGUAGAUAUCAGGAGGAACACCGGUGGCGAAGGCGGGGUCUCUGGGCCGAUACUGACGUGAGGAGCGAAAAGCGUGGGGGAGCGAACAGG
rnacentral:rRNA from 1 species